GCCCCUGUAGUCCAGUGGAGAGGACGCCGCUUUAGCAUCGGAGGCCCGGGUUCGAUUCCCGGCAGGGGCA
rnacentral:tRNA from 1 species